UUAACUCAAAUUUGUAUGGAGUUGGAACGUUUGCCUCCGUUUGCCGCUAGGGGCGCUGUUCCAACUGCCUACAAAUUUGAGUUA
rfam:Bombyx mori DNA, contig: Bm_scaf4_contig4191, strain: p50T/Dazao, build 2, whole genome shotgun sequence.